rnacentral:rRNA from 1 species
GAUGAACGCUGGCGGCGUGCCUAAUACAUGCAAGUAGAACGCUGAAGGAGGAGCUUGCUCUUCUGGAUGAGUUGCGAACGGGUGAGUAACGCGUAGGUAACCUGCCUGGUAGCGGGGGAUAACUAUUGGAAACGAUAGCUAAUACCGCAUGACAACAGUUAUUGCAUGAUAACUGUUUAAAAGGGGCAACUGCUCCACUACCAGAUGGACCUGCGUUGUAUUAGCUAGUUGGUGAGGUAACGGCUCACCAAGGCGACGAUACAUAGCCGACCUGAGAGGGUGAUCGGCCACACUGGGACUGAGACACGGCCCAGACGCCUACGGGAGGCAGCAGUAGGGAAUCUUCGGCAAUGGACGGAAGUCUGACCGAGCAACGCCGCGUGAGUGAAGAAGGUUGUCGGAUCGUAAAGCUCGGUUGUAAGAGAAGAACGAGUGUGAGAGUGGAAAGUUCACACUGUGACGGUAUCUUACCAGAAAGGGACGGCUAACUACGUG